GAUGAACGCUGGCGGCGUGCUUAACACAUGCAAGUCGAACGAAGCGCUUAAACGGAUUUCUUCGGAAUGAAGUUUUUGCGACUGAGUGGCGGACGGGUGAGUAACGCGUGGGUAACCUGCCUCAUACAGGGGGAUAACAGUUAGAAAUGACUGCUAAUACCGCAUAAGCGCACAGUGCUGCAUGGCACAGUGUGAAAACUCCGGUGGUAUGAGAUGGACCCGCGUCUGAUUAGCUAGUUGGUGGGGUAACGGCCUACCAAGGCGACGAUCAGUAGCCGGCCUGAGAGGGUGAACGGCCACAUUGGGACUGAGACACGGCCCAA
rnacentral:rRNA from 1 species